UAAUUUUUUUUUUUUAUUUAUUUUUUUUUGAACACACAAAAUUAAUUUUAUUAUAUAGUAAUAUAUUAGCAAUUACACCUAACCAAUUACACAAGUGUAAAAAAAAAAAAUUGAAGCUUACAUUAUAUAAACAUGCACAAUUUUGUUCAAUAUUUCAUUAUAUAACAUGUAAUAUUUGUGACUAUGACUUUUAACUUUUUUAAUAUAUAUUAGUUUAGAAAUUAUAAUCCUUUUUAGUACACCAUCUAGUUUUUGUGUUAUUAGCUAAAUGAAUCAAAUUAACCAUAGUGAGGAAGAAGAACGUGACACUUUCAUGAGAUGUGCAAAGAUAGUGGAAAACAAGAUAAAGCCCGUAGAAGAGUUGGGGCCAAAGAAACAGCUUACAAUUUCUGCAUAGUUUCAAUACAAGCAAAGAUCAUAAUAUAAGUAUAUUAUGUGCUAUGGUUCACUAGAAAUACACAGAAUUUCUGAUUUUUUUUGUCAAUGUGGUUUAUGUUGUUUGAACAUGGGCUUGGUAGAUUUAGAGACAGUGGAAGUCGAAGAGGUUGGAACUGAUCACUCCGCUUUAUGUUUGUGCUUUUCUUGUCUUUUACGGCUCAGUGAUUUUCAUUUUCUACUUUAAUUAUGCCUUGGCUCUUUUUCUGAAACAUACAUUGGCAUCAAAACAUGUAAAAUAACAUUUGAUUAAUUAUUAUUAGUUCUAUCAAAAUACUGAUAAGAGUUGAAUUUAUGUCAUUUUUGUAUUGAUUUCUUUUCUUUUCUUCUUUUUGCUUAACUGUAUUAAGGUUUAUGGACACUUUAUAUGUUUAUUUGUAAGAUAGUUGUCUCUUCUUGAUGCAAAGAUUGAUGACAAAUGUCCUCAUGACAUAAUGAGGUGACAAGUAGAAGACCAUCAAUGAAGCAACGAAGGAGGUUGGUCUUUUUGUGGAUGAGGUUUCAGAUGAGAAGGAGGAGAAGGAGAUCAUGCAUGCUUUACCAAGGAGGAAGCGUCGGAGGACGAAGUGUAAACACUCCUUUCACCAGUUGUGGCGGUAGUGACGGUGGUGGCGCCGGCGGUAAUGAUCCCCUACCGGGGAUAAUGAUCCUUUAAUUUAUGCUCCAUAUUUUAUUCAAAUAUAAAAAUACUAGUAUCACAAAAGAGUAAAGAAGGUAAAGUAUGUUUUUAACUUUAAAGUAUGUUGUAAGCCACAUUUAAAGUUUUUACUAUUUCC